UACAGAGGGUGCAAGCGUUGUUCGGAAUUAUUGGGCGUAAAGCGCGUGUAGGCGGCUUGGCAAGUCAGAUGUGAAAGCCCUCGGCUUAACCGAGGAAGUGCGUCUGAAACUGCUGAGCUUGAGUGUCGGAGAGGAUGGCGGAAUUCCCGGUGUAGCGGUGAAAUGCGUAGAUAUCGGGAGGAACAUCAGUGGCGAAGGCGGCUACCUGGCCCAAUACUGACACUCAGGUGCGACAGCGUGGGGAGCAAACAGG
rnacentral:rRNA from 1 species